UACUCGAUCCUACCCUCGAAUUCAUUUUCAUAGUCCUUUUCUAAACUGAAACGGUUAAACUCAGCCAGCUUAACUGGCCAGGUCGUAUUCCUGUUAAACAGCUGCUUUCCGCACCUGCGGCUCACGUUGACGUAAAAGGGGUUCAAUCGCAAAGACAUCGUAACCUUACCCAAAAAAGAGGUUUAUUUUAAAUAGGGGAAGAAAAAAUACUUGACGUUUUCAAGGACUACAAAAGUGCUCUGAGCAGUACAUGAUCUCCAGGAGCCAAGAGUCUGGGAGGCAGAGGAGACCCUGGACGGGAUGCUAGUCCAUCGCCAGUAGAGCGGACGGAUCGUCGCUUGGCCGUGGACUAGAACUGGAGAGUGAGUCCACGGCUAGCAUGCAUCCGCGGGGGGAAAGACAACAACAACAAAUGAAUCUGGG